GAAUUUAUAGGUUUUACCCGAGUUACAAAAUUCAGCUACAAGAAGUGAGUGUCCUGUGCAGCAGACACUAGAGCGAGGGCCUGGCGGCCUCUCGGGAGCUAUUUCCAUCCCACGGCAGUGAAACGUAUCCUUACUUCAGCUGCGGCCAGUGAUGUCACCUCCAUCAGGUUCACUGCUCGGAAAGCAAACACAGCAGCUGCCAGCACUGGAAAAGAAUGCACAGUAUUUCAACUGCUGGCCUCCUCCACAGCCCGGACACACAUGCUCUGCCCACAGCCACCGCAGACAGCAGAAGGAGUGUGCAGCGCAGCUGUUCCUGCCCUCUGCCUUCAGGAGGCAUCGUAAGUGGGACAUCUAUUCUGGAGAACAGCGCCUGGCCACUUCACGGAUUGAGCAGCUGUGAAAGUCUGACAGGAUGUCCAAAUAUUUGCUGCAGCAGGAAAGAGUCCUAGAUGGUGGCCAGCUGUGCGACCGAAGGUAGCGGAGUCCACUGAUUGAACUCAGCAUCCAGAUGGGAGCGCAGAGCCUUUAUUUAUCCUGGUGUCACAUCACACAAGUGCCUUUCUGCUUGCUUCAUGUUGAGUUUGUCCAGCCCCUCUGUACAGAACAGAGUGGCUUGCCAUGGAGAGAGGAGCUAUACUUUGGAGCAUCCUUAACUGAAGUCAAGCUGCAUAUGAAAUGUGGAAAUGGCUGUGUUCACUUUGGGUUUUUACAACUAUUCUCACUACUUUAAUCUUAAUAAACUCUAUCAUGACAUCAA